GACGAGUGCUGGCGGCGUGCCUAAUACAUGCAAGUCGAGCGAAUCUCAGGGAGCUUGCUCCCAAAGGUUAGCGGCGGACGGGUGAGUAACACGUGGGCAACCUGCCUAUAAGACUGGGAUAACUUCGGGAAACCGGAGCUAAUACCGGAUAAUACUUUUCUACUCAUGUAGGGAAGCUGAAAGACGGUUUCGGCUGUCACUUAUAGAUGGGCCCGCGGCGCAUUAGCUAGUUGGUGAGGUAACGGCUCACCAAGGCGACGAUGCGUAGCCGACCUGAGAGGGUGAUCGGCCACACUGGGACUGAGACACGGCCCAGACUCCUACGGGAGGCAGCAGUAGGGAAUCUUCCGCAAUGGACGAAAGUCUGACGGAGCAACGCCGCGUGAGUGAUGAAGGUUUUCGGAUCGUAAAACUCUGUUGUUAGGGAAGAACAAGUACCAGAGUAACUGCUGGUACCUUGACGGUACCUAACCAGAAAGCCACGGCUAACUACGUGCCAGCAGCCGCGGUAA
rnacentral:rRNA from 1 species